ensembl:lncRNA
CUUUCGAGUCCACCGGUCUGGACGAGCUAGAUGAACUGCGCGCGUCGCUGUAUGAAAGGCGACACCUUCGGCCAAAGUGUAAAUAUUUCCAGUGUGCAGAGGUAGAGUUUGAAGCACUGAGGAGGGACAUGCAGUCUGACCGGGCACAUGGCAACCAAAAGGAAAGAGAAGAACAUUUCAUUGGUAUGGGGGAAACUGGGAAGAUUAAGGUAAGGCAGAGUUGAGUCAGCAUGAUUAAGCCUUCAUAGGUGAGCAACUACUGACCUAGUAAAAUCCAAAUUUACAAACUGUUGAAGUAGACCUUUUACCCUGCAAUUAGAACUGCUUGUUUUUCAGGAGGUCUCAAUGUUCCUCAUGGCCAUCCAGGUGUAUUGUAAACAUAAUACCAGUUACAUGUAUUAUUUACGGUUCCAAAAUUUAUUAUCAUUCAAGUUAAGGAAAAUGGGGUGUGAAGUAAUUGUCUGCCUCAGAGUCCACCACCAAAAUGUGUAACAAGAUUACAGUUAGGGAAUUUCUUAUGAUUACUGUCUAUAAACAAUCCAUGCAUGGCUGAGAAAAGUUUUUUAUUAGUCUAAUACAGCUGUUUUAGCUUUUCAAUGGCUAUUUUUCUAUAAGAACAAAGGCUGUCAUGCUGUAUAGCAUUCAACAGGUAUGAAAAUGCGAUGCCAGUCAUCUAAAGGCACUUUAUUAUCUAAGGAUAAACUGCAAAAUUAAAACAUUACAAAACGAUUAUUUAUCUGACCCCCUUUUAGCAAGAAACUUGGAGAGGAGGAACUCCCUUUUUAACAGGAAUAAAUGCCCAGUAGAACUGGGCACAGGGGGGAGUGGUCAUCAGCUGUGACCAGCUGGGGUGAGGAGAAGGAGACAGGACUAAAAACAUGCUGUGUAGGAGAGUCAGAGAUUGAUAAUAACUAAUAAUAACUCAAAAGAGAGACCUAAAAACUGGAGGCCUGGCUUCCCAUUUUACUUUUAAAUAUUCUAGUAAGCUUAAAGUUCGAGAGUCAAGUGGGGAGAUACAGUACUAUAGGAGCAGGAUGGUAAUUAAAAAAAACAGAUUUAACAAGGAGCCUAUGAAGAGAAGUCAAUAGGAGAAAUAUACUCUGUCAUUCUAGUCCCUUUCAGUAUUCAUGUGCAACAUUUUGAUGUAGUUGAAUGCUUUUUAAGGAGUUUUUACCACAACCUGAUAAUAAUAAUAGCUCAGCCUAGAAGUAAUGAAUGCAUGAACUUGUCUUCCAGCAUCACUCUGGGACAGGACUUUAGAGAUAUUGCAGAAAUUGAAGAAAGCAGUCCUUAAUAUUCGCAUAUUAGCACAUAUUGGGAUUUAAAAAAAUUACUCCAAGAAACCUCACAGUGUUAAUGGAGACCAAGGUAAUGCCAUUCAGAGCAUUCCUUUAGGUUGACUGAUAGGUGUGUGUUGUUUGGCUUCAUGGAUGAAUGAGAGAGAGGCUGUCAUCAGUAUGGCAGAGGUAUGUUGUGUCUUUUGUGGUGUUACCUAAAGGAGGCAUGUGUUAUAUAAACAGAAAUAGAUCCUGGGGUGGAACCUUGUGAAGCUCAAUGGUUAGUCUUGUGUAUGUGGGAGGAUUCUUAGAAUAACAUGUUCACAAGUGUCGAACAUAGAGAUCAAUCCACUGUCAGAGGCCUUAAGAAGAUCAUUUUUAACCUUCACCAAAGCUGUCUCUAUACUGUGAUGUGCUCUGAAACCUGACUGAAACUCUUUAAAUAAGGCAUUCCUCUGUGGCUAUUUUACAGCAUCUCUUGUGGGGAUUUUUGACAUAAAGGAAAGUUGGAGAUUGGCCUAUAAUUGGCUAGGACAGUUGGGUCAAGUGAUGGUUUUUGAGUGAUGGUUUAACUACUGCCAAUAUGAAGAACUGUGUGGUCAAUGUGGCAUUGUCUAACUUAGCUUUGAAAAUUUCAAUUCUGCGGCUAUAGAGGUGUGGGAAGUUUGAUCAGCCAUAUAGCCAGCAACGCUAAGUUUUGGGCUAACAGUGCUAAUGAUGAAUUGUGAAUUGGCAGCCGGUAACAGAGUUAAUGUUUAUUCAAAUUCAGCAUAUAAAUUUGACAUGUGCUCAAUAGUGUUUAAGAACAAAGAAGAUCUUAGAGAAGCCAACAGAGCAGUUAUAGUUACUCAGCUACUAGUCGCCCUAAAGCUCCCUGGUAUCACUAGAAAACAGACAUAUUAAUACCUAAAUGAAACAACCUUGUAGAGCUUUACUAUGCACUUCCUAAAUUGAUAGCUAUGCAAAGAUAAAUAAAGCUUUCUCUUUAUAACAGCAUUUGGGACAAAUAUUUCAAAGUGCUUCACAAAAUAAAGCAAUGAAUUGGAAUUUGUUAAGGAAGAGGUUAACUAGGUACAAAUAUUAACUUUAGUACUAAGGUGCAUGUAGUCGUGAACUAACAAGACUAAAACAACUAACAUUGCAUGGCAUACUCACAAAGGUCCAUAGAUAAGUCCUCAUAAAGGGCCUGUAGAGGUAACUGUGAACAAAACUAAUGCACUCUGCAAAGUUAUCUUUCUGCAGGUGGAGAUGGUAUCUGGAUAACAGACGGAGAUGCAGAGGUCCUGGAGCAGGUGCUGGCGAUCUGAUGAUGAGUGCGAGGGGAAAACGGAGUGAAACAGGUGUUACGUCCCUCUGCAGCCUCUAAUCUGCGUCUCAUUUUGGCUGGUCCGUCUGUGUAUCCACCAUGUCUCAUCCGUGUGUUUCCCUGCUGCCCAACCGUCAUCUGUUUUCUGCUCGCGGUUAUUUGUGUUCAGGCUGCUCCAGACAGCUGAACCAUGACCCAUCCAGUAGCUGUUGAAUCUGCUGCAGAGCCUACAGCCCAGGUGGAGCUGGACAGUGCCCAAACCAGCUUCCAAAUGAUGGAUGUGCAAGAUCAACUACUACCCAUCGCCGACCCUGACUUUAAUCAAGAGUAGGACCAAGUCGUCUCGAGUAUUCUUAGAAGCUAUGCAAGAUCCAGCAGUCAAGAAGUACCAUAAGAGACUUUUCUCGGACUAAUAAAUUAGUUGAAAUAUGGACUGAAAAAGGGACACAAGUUGAGUAAAGGUUGAAGCUGACUGCAGAGAAAUGUCAACCUUGAAGCUAACAAAGGACAUUUCAAAGCCCACACUGAGAAGUCUGUUCAGAAAAAGAAGUUGCACCUGACCAAGAUGAAAUCCAAAAUUGGAAAAUAAUUGUUUAAUUGUAUUAUUUUUAAUGUCACAUAUGGUGUUGUGUAAUCCAUGUAUGUAUUAUGUAUCUCUGCUGAUGUGUUUUAUGCCUUACUUUCAUUUUCCUGUAAUUAGGCUGAUUUUUAAGUUUCUUGAGUAUUCUGUUAGGGAUACUGUGUAGUAUGAUUUGCAAAUGAAGAUGAAUCAAUUUGUCUUAAAUUAAUUGACUAAGAGAAAUGGAAUGUUGGGAGAAUGUUAUGUUGAUAACUGUGAGGUUUUUGGUGGAAGGAAGGGCUUAUUCAUUUGAGCAACAACUGUGUGGGAUCUUUAUACAAAUUCUUAUGUUCUAUUUAGAGCUUGCUUUAAAAUAUGUUAGCAAAAAAACAGCGCACGCAUUAGUUUUCACAAUUUUUGUUCUUCUUUAGUCAUGGGGUCUUUUUAGGUGGUACCUCUAGGUACCACAGGGGGGAAUGUGGUGGAUUUUUGUGUGAUAUGUAUAACUAUGUAACUAUAUACACUAUAUAUUUAUGUGCACUGAACAUACAUAUUUUAACUUUCAUGUAGAGUCUUAAGCACAAGACAUUUUUGCUUCACCGAGGUUUAUUAAGUUGGUACUGUAACAGGGCAGUUAAUGUAAGGGGAGAGUUCUCUUGAAUAAUUUACUUAAUAAUUAAUUAAUUUAACAUCUUUAAUGCAGCACAACCAAAACAGUAACAUUGUAAUAGAGAUCCUGAACACAUAACGAUAAAAUAUCAUACAAAGUACACACACACACACACACACACACACACACUUUGAACCCACACUGAAGUGUUUUUAAGCAUGUAACCUGUGUAUUAUAUGUUUUAAGAUUGUGCCACUUGCUGUAUAAGAUUUAAUAAUUAGGAUUAAUGUCUGACCUUUGACCGUGUCAUGACCUAUUGUGAUAAGCCAGAGCAAGGGGUACUCAGAGUCCUGACUGGCCUUUGGCCAAGACCUUGGCCGCUAUCUGACCCCAGCAGCUGUGCGGGGCGUGUGGGAAAGUUACCCAGCAGCAGGGGGCGGGGAUACUGGUCCCUAUAUUAGGGGACCAGAGGACACCCCCAGAGCUCUUUUCCUCCUGCUGCUGCUACCUGUCUGUCUCUGUGUUGCUCUGCUGUCUGUGCUUAAGGCUGUACACCCCGGGGUUUUGCUUUGCUUGCUUUCUGCUUUGUAAUUUUCUUGCUAAAUGUCUGUAUGUAUUUUUCCUGCUGUUCAUAUGAUUCAGUGUAUUAAACUCUGUUCCAAGAAUUCUGCUCUUUUACAGAGCAUCUUUUUGAGUGUCUUGGUUUUAAUUGGAUUUGGAUCUCCACAUCGUUGGUGGAAGAAGGUUAUCAGGAUGGCUUCAAAAUUUGCGACCACAGGGUGAUGCAUUCAGGAGUGAGGGACACUCUUGUACAAAUAAGAGAGAGAUAUUGGAUCAUCCAGGCUCGGCAGCUGGUUAAGAGCAUUGUGACCAGAUGCACUGUGUGUAAGAGGUUUAAGGCAAAGGCUGGGCAUCAGCUAACUGCACCUUUGCCUAGGGACUGAAUAUCCGAGUCACCACCAUUCGAAGUUACAGGUGUGGAUUUUGCUGGGCCGCUCUAUGUGAAAACAGAGGAUUCUGUGAAAAGAUCCUGCAUUGCCCUAUUUACCUGUGCUGUGACACGAGCUGUCCAUUUAGAGCUUGUGUCAGAUCAGUUAACUGAGACAUUUUUGCUAGCGUUGAAGAGAUUCAUUGCCCGGAGAGGGCUAUGCAGAGUUAUCUAUUCUGACAAUGCCAGAACAUUUAAGAGAGCAGACCAAGAUUUGAAGGAGCUGUGGAAGACAAUUAAAGACCCACAUUUGCUGGAGUUUUUCUCGGAAGGAGGAAUUACUUGGAAGUUCAUUGCAGAAAGAGCAGCCUGGUGGGGUGGAUUCUGGGAACGUCUUGUCAGAUCAGUGAAAAUCUGCCUCAAGAAGGUGUUAGGUAGAGCUUCACUCCACUUUGAAGAAAUGUGUACUGUGUUGGCGGAAGUCGAAGCUACUCUGAACUCUUGGCCUCUCACCUUUGUGCACAACGAGGUAAAUGA